CAUUAGAUGGCUGAAUUGUAAGUAUUGGUCUCUUAAACCACAUAAUAGUAUAAAUAACAUAUACUUCUAAUGA
rnacentral:tRNA from 1 species